ACUUUAUGUGGUCUGUUGCUUCCAUCAUUGCCUAAAUUCUAUACAUUCCAGUAAUGUCUACAGUUACAUUAUUUGAGAAUUUGGUAAUAUCUUGUUAUUUUUUAUUUUUAGGUGCUCUGUUCGUGUCUAUUUCCUGGGCCCCUUCCCCCUGAGGAACAUUAUUUCAUGCCACUAUGUUACUCUAUAUGGCUGGCCUGACAAUAAAGGUGCAAAACUUCACUGGAGCUCCAUAAGACAUGGUUAGAUUAAAGCAGGCAGGUUUCCAGUAAGAAUCACAGUGUGGGAAACCUACCUAUGCUUGACAAGGGAGGAUGUUGCAGCCAGAAAGGGACACUUCAUCACUCCUAUCUGCCCUGUCCCCUCAACCAGCUCAAACAGCUAAAAGUUAUGCAAAGCAGUUACCGGCUCCAACUUCAAGCUAAUUUCCUGCUACAUUGGCUGCAGAUUCUGGGUUAUCCAUCCGUCUACUGUGUCCUCCUCAAGGUUCAAAUCGCUCUGCGUAGCCUGGAGUCCUGGAUCAGCUUCCUUCACCUUUCCUUGUUUUUAUAUUGUCUUUCCAUUGUUAUUUAUACCUUCUUAUACUCCACUGGCACGCUGUUUUAUAGGGGUAACAGUGUGACCAUGUGUUUCAAAUGUUACUAUGUGCACUUAAACACAAAGCACCAGGAAUUGUUCCAGCCUUAAAUUAAAGAAACUGGAUACUUAACAUACCUGACCACAUAAAUAUUUACCACCCAAUAUCGCACAUUUGUAUUUCCAUUUACUGAUUUUUUUCACAUUCAUUUAACAUUCAGGUCAGUAAAUAAAGUGACAAGUGCUUCUAACUAAGGCCGUCAAAUCAGUGACAUAAUCACGUGAUAUACCUGGGGUCAGAGUUGAUUCAGGUCCAGAGAGUUAUAGUCCCAAACGUUUAGUCUCAACUUUUACUCUCUGGACCGGAAUUACCCAACUCUGCUUAUAGUAUACAUGUGCUUUUGGGUUCAUAUAUAACAUGUGAUUUAAAGACAGAUGUAUGAAAUACCCUAACACACAAAUGACUACACUGAUUGGCAACGACAAAGAAGUUAUGGAACUGGCUGUCGCUCAAUUUUUAUUGUGAAAACAGCAGUCAGUUGGACACAUUCAGAUUGCAUUUGGGAGCUUUGGACACUGCAGAACAUAUAUUAGCUUAAUGGCAAUUUGCUAAGUGCAGUCAAGCUCAGAGAUAAUUCAGGACGGCAGUAGCUUCCCAGCUUAGCUUUGCAGGUUGUCUACGAGGCUUCCGGAGGGCGUCUCACUGUGAAGGCCAAUCUGGAGGAGCUGAAGAUGAUUAAAAGACACCACACUGUUCACUAAUAGCAUUACUUCUUACUAUAUGUCAACAAACAGGUAACACGAUAGAUCGUCAUAGACAUUACAAUAUGCAUUCAUUAAUUGCAUUGUUGUUAAUGCUGGUUUCCAGCUGUUUGUUCACAAUAUAACUUUGUCAAUUUUUUUUACCAGUAAUUAAAAUAAUGUGUAAUUAAAAUAUUCAAUAUAAAAUAUUGCAAAUAAUAAAAGUCAGCCAAUGUAUUCCAUGUGGCUCUUUUAACCUGUUAAAAUAUUAAAAUAUUAAUAAUAA